rnacentral:rRNA from 1 species
CCUACGGGAGGCAGCAGUGGGGAAUCUUCCGCAAUGGGCGAAAGCCUGACGGAGCAACGCCGCGUGAUCGAAUGAAGGCCUUCGGGUUGUAAAGAUCUGUUGACAGGGACGAAUAAGCAAUGCGAAUAGUUUUGUGUAUGACGGUACCUGUUUAGAAAGGUCCGGCUAACUACGUGCCAGCAGCCGCGGUAAUACGUAGGGAGCAAUCGUUGUCCGGAAUUACUGGGCGUAAAGGGCGCGUAGGUGGGCGCUUAAGUCAGGUGUGAAAGCUACGGGCUCAACCGUGAGAUUGCAGUUGAUACUGGGUGUCUUGAGGGCAGGAGAGGAAAGGGGAAUUCGUGGUGUAGCGGUGAAAUGCGUAGAUAUUAGGAGGAACACCGGUGGCGAAGGCGACUUUCUGGACUGUAACUGACGCUGAGGCGCGAAAGCGUGGGUAGCGAACGGGAUUAGAUACCCUAGUAGUC